rnacentral:tRNA from 1 species
GGAGGGAUGGCCGAGUGGUCUAUGGCGCACGCUUGGAGAGCGUGUAACCUCGCAAGAGGUUCCAGGGUUCGAAUCCCUGUCCCUCCGCCA